CAGCACCUCAAGUGGUCAGGAUGAUUAUUGGGCCUAAAGCAUCCGUAGCCGGCGCUGUAAGUUUUCGGUUAAAUCUGUACGCUCAACGUACAGGCUGCCGGGAAUACUGCAGCGCUAGGGAGUGGGAGAGGUAGACGGUACUCGGUAGGAAGGGGUAAAAUCCUUUGAUCUAUUGAUGACCACCUGUGGCGAAAGCGGUCUACCAGAACACGUCCGACGGUGAGGGAUGAAAGCUGGGGGAGCAAACCGGAUUAGAUACCCGAGUAGUCC
rnacentral:rRNA from 1 species